AACAACCUCAGGUCCUUCAGCUGCUCCCUGUAGGACUAACGAUCAUCCUGUGAUUUACUGGAGACAAUUGAGAUUCUCGGUUUUCAAAAAUGACAGCCUCUGAAGCAGUCUUCAUCUUUGCAUUAAGGGAAGGUAUAUGUGUAAUUUUGUGUAGUAGGAAAGUACAUCAAGCUUUCUGACACAUCCUCUACAGGCGUUUCAAAAAUAGCAAAGAAAUUGUCUUGUUUGUUGGACCUUCAAGCAGCUCAUUUUAAAUUCAAGGUUGAUCAGAACACUCUAGCAACCCAUUUUCUCCUAGUCCAGCUAUCAACUUGAGUUUCUUUGUGGCAGCUGCUACCACAGCGUCUGGUGCUGAAAGAGCCCCCUUUGCAUGUCAGCUCUGAGAGAAACCUUUCUGACGUCCGACACAGAACAGAUAUCAGAUAUUGAAAAGCUUGAGGGCUCACACAACACAGUUCAGUGAAACCUCAGCAAGGAAAACAACACUGAAUCUGGAGGAACAGCUGGCAUACCAAAGAGGAGUCCAGAGGCACUGUCCAGAAGCCUGGGGACUGGAUCAACAAAAGUCUCCUCAAGUUCAACAGGGAACAACACCCUGAUCCUAAAAUCAGUUCAACACAUAAGCAAGGAAGAGGAAGGAGGAAAAAUUGUGGCUCCCAGUCACUUAAGGGAGAAGGAAAAAAAGAGAGAACAGUAAGUGUGAAAAUGCCUCAUAACUGUUACACUGCUACUGCCACUCCUCUUGAUGGUCAGGUUCACUCGCUGCAUUUCCUCGUAACUGGCUCACUGAAGUUCAAGGCAGGGUGUCUUAGAUAUAACAGGGCUCUACCAUGACCAGCGCUCCAGUGAUGUCCAUUGUGCACCCUGAAGGACUGCUGAAGGAAGUGGUAAGAUAUAGAAGAUGCUAUCACCAAGCACAGCAGACUCAGAAGACUGACUUCAGUCAGUUCCACCAAAGGCCCAGGAGGGGUAAGUUAAACGUUCUGUGGACAGGGAAGAUUUAGGUAAGAAAGAUGUGUACAAUCCUGCUUUGGUUUAAAAACCCU